AGGCCACAAAGUCAGGAGACAAAGAAUUGCUGUUAUUAGGAGGACUGUUUUGGAUUUAUUUAUAUUCUAAGGCUUUACUUCAGUGUCCACUUCACUCCCCGGGCUCAGGCUUCCUCCAAACCAGAAGAUACAAUUAAGUCAGAGAAUUUUAGUGUAAACCAUAUUUUGACAGACAAGACCUCUCAACUUCAAGCAAAAGAACUUCAAUGAGUUUGUAAUGCCCCCAGAGCUGCACAACUGGCCUGAGGUUAUAUGACAAGCCUGGGAAAAGGCCUCCUAGAUUCUGUCCUGAUCUCGAACAGACUUCUCAUGGUUUAUAUGCAAUACAUUAAUAGCAGCUCCAAUUUAUGGAUAGAUAAAUCGGGAUACAAAGGGGACAAGUAACUCUUCCAAGGAUUUACAGCAAGUCUUUGGCAGAGCCCCGCAACUCUUACUCAGUCCUUUGUUUAAAUCACUAAACCACACCGCCUUCUUUAGACCGCAAUUAUUGCACAGGCCUGAGUACUGUGACAUAUCUAAAAUUAUAUAGCUAUACACUUAGACAAGGCUUUUUAAAAAUGAAGAUUGUGUAACACCCUCAGAGUCGAACACAGAGCUGCUCAGUGAGCACUCCACUGCUUAAAGACAGCCUUCUAAAUCCCCUCCCAUCAUAAAAGAGCUAGAUUUAAUACGCUGUAAGAAGAAAUCGGAGAGAAACUUAAUAGGAUUUGAACAUAAAACUUCUGAUGACAAACUCAUACUGUAGCAAUGAGCCUUCCUUUUGGAGAACUGACACGAAAAAAUAAUAGUAACUUUUAUGAUUAUGACAAAUAGUGUGUAUCAUCCAACUCUGGGAACGCUGCACAGACUAUGCAGAAUGAAUUAUACACUGUCAAAUUUCAGGCGUAACUGAGUGGAUUAAAUUUGAAUUUUAGCAUGUCUCAGAACUGUGCUUCUUCUUUAUAAGCGUGUUAUCACAACCAGUGGUGACAUACUUAUUGUAUGGUGACAUACGGUAUACGGUAACGCACAAUAAAUACAUACUUAUUGUACGGUGACUUACAUUUCCUCAGUCUCCUGCAGUAGGUUGUGCAGUCUCUUUACCUGAAAGGCACAGCUAGACAGGGUAGAUUCUAGUAGUACAAGAAAUCUAAGGACUGUGCUUAGAAAUACCUUGAAAUUAAACCUCCCAAGUUCUUAAUGGGUUUUAAAAGAGAGAGCAGGGACUUGUGAUUGCCGGGGCACCACAGAGAUUCCAAAUAUUCAUCUAAAUAUUGUGUGCCCAAGUGUCUUCAUCUGCCUUUGCAGAGAACACAUCCGUCCCCAAGCCAGACAUGUAGAUUUGUUAUCUUCUGAUUGUAAGCUUGCACUUGCAGGACCUCUGUGCACACACCUGCUUAUGGAAACCUAGAGGUCAAGUAGAAGCUGAUGAAGAUCUUAUGCAGAUCAGCUACACUGUAUUUUUAAAAGACUGGAUGGGGUGGAAAUUAUAAUGUUACCCAAACUGAUGCAAGUGUGUAUGGAUGUUAGUCAGCACCUUGAUUCAAGCUGGGGUCAGGAGCAAACCAGAGGUUAGAAAAAGUAGCCCUGGAGUGCUCCCCUCCCCAGAGUGACCUCAGGGCUGCAGCCUAAAAAUCGGGAUUGGCAGUAGGGAAGCUCUUACUUGCACAGAGAGCACUCCAUUUUCCACUAAAGCCUCACACAGGAGAGAUUCAGCCUGCCCAGAGAAAAUAGCCCUAGGCCACUGGUCUGCGUUGCCUGUGAAGGAGGCCUGGCAUGGCCAGCCCUCCAGAGACACCAGAGCCCAGGGCUCCAACACAACCCGAAUGACCCUCUCAAGCUCAGACUCCAGAGCCUGGGGCUCCUAGGAGGCCUGAUGGCCUCCACCAAGUAAGUCCACUUGCACACGCCGGGCCUGAGCCAGGCCUCUGCUCCUCCAGCUAAUGGUGGCAGCACCACUGAGGCUCGGCCCUGUCCCUGGCUGCCGCUUGAUGCUGUCAGCUUGGUGAGAUCCCAUAAUGCUUUUUGAAAAUGGAACUAAUCUGACUGCUGGCCCAAUUCCAGCUUUGGGUAAUUACAUUCUUCUGACAAAUUUUUCUUGGCAGUUUCAACAGAAUAUAAUUAGUAAAUGUAAAUAGAUGUAAACAGUGCUGUAAAUUACACUUUGCGUGAUUGUCAGAAGCGGAGGGGGAUAGCAGGGGUGAAGGUGCAAGAAGAGCAGAGCACCGUUCCCCAGCAUGCACGAUGUGGCAGCCGUCCCUGCUAGCAGGCUGGGCAUGCCUCUGCCAGGACAGUGCGUGUGUGGCAGCAGCCAAUGUCACAAGCCAGGCUCACCGUGUGGCUCAUCACACAGAUCACCGGCUUUACCUCGAGUACCAUUUUGACCUGACAGUGUUCGGUCAUGUCCUACAGCUGUCCUCACAGGCAGCUGCUGUGCUCCACCUCAGCUGUGCUUCUGCUCCAGCAGCAAGCGAAUGGCUUCCAAAGACACACGCACGCAACUGCAGAACAUGUGUACAUCAAAGUAUUGAUUGCUGUGAAAUGCUUAUCAAAUUUGUCAAUGGCUUGUGCAACCUCCUGCUACUGAGGAGCUGUCAUACAAAUGGAAUUACAUAAUUAACUCUCAAACCUAUUUCAGUGCUGCCUCAUGCACCUAAUUUCACAUAAAGUAGAAAUAGCUUCUACAAAAAAAAAAAAAAAAGCAUAUUUUUAACUACAUGUAGUUAAGUAGAUUUAACAGCAGCUAUAUAGAGUAAUGAAAAGAGAUUACAAAGUGUGUCUUAGUUCUCUUGUUAUCGAUAUACUAUUACGUUUUGUGUGUCAAAUGUCAAAAUAGCUAGCAGAAGCCAGCAAAAUGAAGGGAAAGUUUAUUUUUUCAACAAAAGCUUAUUGCAUUAUUUAGCUAUAACAGGAGAAACAGAUGUUACAGCUUUACAAUAACGUGUCUUGCAAAACUUCCUUCUAAACGACUAUUCGUGCUCUACAUGUUUUGGACUGUGCAUGGAGAGCUCUGCUAACAGUUAUGGGAAGCAUUGCAUACAUUAGUAAAACCCACAUUAAGAUAAUUAGUGCUAAAAAGAAUCAACAAGCAUCUUUUUUUUUCUUUCUUUCUUUAUAGUAUUGAUUUAGUGUGGGUGAGAAAUGCCAGAUUUUCAGUCUUGAAGAUUCAUGUUCCACCACAGAGCAGGAGAUGGAGCCAGCUUUUCCCAGUGUUCUGCCAAUAAACUCUCUGAUUAACCAUCUCAUGAGCUAGGCAGGAGAUUCAGGCUUUACCAUCUUUGACCCAUAGUCUCUCUAACGGACCUAGAGAACAGGGGGCACACCGCCUGGGACAAGGAACUGUUCUCAUAAGAGCUGUGUAACCUUUCUAAAUCCUAUGAAGGGUUUUACAUAUCAUUGAACAUUUUGUCUGAUGGUAACUUUACCUUCUGCAGAUCCAAGCAAUGCCAGUAUAGAUAUGGACACGUUAUCAAACGUGAUUGGAUUCAAGCAGCUUAAAAAAAUUACUGCCUGGUCCCUUGAAACUUUGCUUAGUGCUAAAUUGUAGGCUGAGAGCAUGUGCAUGAACAGCUCUGACCAUAUUGUGGAUGGGUGUUUCUUGCUAAACCACCACAACUUGAGUUUAUUCCCCUGGGAAAGGAGCCAUUGUAGCUAUGCGUAUGAGAAGAGUAACAUGUCCUAUUACAACUUUCAGUAUUUAUUUUAGUUACAGAGGUAGGCAGGUUAGUUGAGGAUAUUAUUUUGUUUGGGGUUUAGAAGGGUUGCUUUAAAACCACUUGCUUUCAGGCAAAGUGAUAAUCAGUCAAAGCAGCAUAAGACUUUUAUAGUGGAAGGCCAACACAUCUUUUUUUCAUUCAGUCUGCAAGAAUAAACUGAGCACAGCUGUUUUACUGAAAACAACCCACUGGUAUUUAAGUAGAUUAACAAAAUUAACUGUGAAAAUCCUCUGCUAUAGGAAAGCCAAUAACCUGUUGGCCACAAGGAGGCAGGGCAAGGAUUCAGUAAACUCUAAGUAAUUGCUUUUAUGUAAAAGAAAAAAAAAAAAAAGAGUGUUAAAUUAGUUCAGUCAUGAAACUCUGAACUGCUAGGCAAGAUAAAAAGCACUUUUCAGUCACUGUGUGGUUUUGGGAUUGCUGUUUUAGACCAACAGCAGCAAAUAUCUUAAGAUAUUAAACAAUAGCUUAUCUGGCAGCAAUUUUCUGCUUCUUUUGAAGGAGCACAUCAUGCAUGUUUUUUCUUCAUCACGUCUGUGUGAUGUACACUAAAAAAGAAGGCUCACACGCUGAGCUUUGAUAGCAAGGGUGGAUUUACCAAAUGAGAGCAAGAAGCUGUACAGUCAAGUUCACAACGUUUUGUUCCAAAGCUAAUAAAUCCUGCUUCUUAGCAAGUGUCAAGGCAGGCCUGGGAGCUCUAUCUUUCAUUCCAGCACUUCUAAUUCUGUACUAAAAGCAGGCAGGUAGGCGUCUGUAGUGCCUUACCCAGUACAUUAUACGCAGUACAGCACAGUGACAUUUCAUGUAUCUAGAACUUUCGGGCAUUCCAAAAUAAACACUAACUCAAGUUCAAACUUCUAAAUGACAAAAGGGACAAAAGAAGACAAAGUAUCCAUAUAUCGAAAAGGAUUAAAUUUAACAGUGAAACAAAGUCUUUCACAGUAUCAACAUAUAAUAGUCCAGACCUAUCAGUGAUCUUCUGUUUCAUAGGUCUCCAAGCUCUGCCAGCGUGAGCUACUGAGCUAGGUAAUUUCAGUCCCCAUGCCUCUGUUUUCUCAUAUUUUAAACAGUUGCUUUUCUUCUUUGUGAAACAGUAUGAGGUCCACGGAUAAAAAACACGCUAAAAGAACUAGUUAUUAUUAAUGCAAUUCAGAUAUGGAAUGCACCAGAUGGUAAAAUCUCCAGGAUUUUAAUGAACUAUUGUAACAGAACAUAUGUAAUAUGACGUUAUUGUAAGAGGCAUUUAAAUGUAUAGUUAGUACAUACAACGUGACCUGCUCUGCUCUCUGUAACUCCACUGGAAUUAUUUUGGAUUUAUGUCAGAUAAUACUAGGAACACAAAAUAGCCCCAUAUGUGCAAUGUGGUGAGGUUUUCCUAGCAAUGCAAUCUUAACUAUUGCCUUUCCCGUUUUUAAUUUUUGCUGGGGCUACCCUAAUGGCAAAGAAUAAGCUGUCUGAGCCAUUAUUCAUUAGCUACCAUCAUAAAACAGUUAAACUGUGAAGCAGUAAGAACUUUUUCUUCUUAUUCACUAUAUUCUGUAAAGAUUAUGUCUUUGAUACACCUUAUGCUACAUUUGGACAGCAACUCAUGCUUGUGUCAAAAGAGCCAAACAUUCAGUUUCAGGUUGUUAGGGCAGUAGUAUCUCCUUUUUCCCACAGCACUGGAGUUCUGGACAUUAUGAGUAACACACGUGGGGAAGUGUGAACUGCAGCUCAAGCCACUGUCAUGGCACAUUACAGUCAGAGGCAGGUAGUGACUUCAGUACAGAAGGAACAUGGAGAUACUCUCAUGCACAAUAAUUGCGGCAUAUCUACAAUACAGACUAUAAAACUGAAGUGAACUGACAUUUAAUAUACGAGAGGCUGGAAGCAAGCUAUCAAUUUCACAUCAUAAAUUAACCUUUGUACUAGUGCCCAAAGAUUUGGCUGAUUACUCACUGCCAUCCCUUUGUGCUUAAGCAGUCUUUUCCAAAGCAAGACAGUUAAACCACAAAAACGUACCGUAGUGUCCACAGCCCUGACCUUCUCAGCAGGAACGUGCUUUGGAAUGGGUUCUUCUACUGAUAUCAUCAUGCAGCCUUCUGCUCCAAGAGUAACAAUUACGAGCUUACACCCUCUUUCUAACAGCAGGCGUCCCACCUUUUCAGUAUCUUCAAGGUUGCCAACUGGGAUGCCCGUUAAAAUUUCUGCCUGGAAAAUAACCCACGCAAAUGAAAAUCAUUAUCUGAUAGCAUUCAAUUUUGGACAACAGUUGCUUUUGAAAACAGUGUUUAAUAUCAUUUUAGAAAUGUGUCUUAUGAGAUGAUCGUGAAACCGCUUCCUACGCUGAUAUUCAGCUAUGUCAUGCUCCUUGUUUGAAAUCAGCACGUACUUUGGGCACAGCAGACUAAUAGAGAGCAGCCUAGGCAGAGACACAGGAAGCAUGGGUUCUGUUCCAGCUUCUACAAUAUGCCUGCCAUGCAACCUUUACCAAAAUCACACUUCUCCUGCUUCUUCAUCUCUGAAAUGGACACAAUGACACAGCCUUGGUGAAAGCAUUUUGCUGUCUAAUGUGAAAAAUGCUACAUGGCAACUCAGUCACUACUCUUGAGGGAUAUUUAUCACUAUACAAGAAACCUAUUACAAUUCUCAGGGUUCAGCUAGUGAGAAAUCUCUUCAAGGAAAAAAAAAUACAAGAGUGCUCAACUGGUAAACUUGACCACUGUGCUUACUUUAAUAUGUAUUUGAGAUAAGAAUACCUAAAAGUCAUCUGAAGCUCUCUUUGGGCAAAGGCCCAUCACAAGAUGAUUAUAUAUUUGAGUUAUGGAUGUGUCCAUAGUCCUCUGCCAGCGCUGAGACUCUUUUGUGUUGGCUCUGUACAAACACAGAUAAACUUUUCUUCUAACAGAUGGUGACCUUAAGUCAACUUCUCCCAGUUGGCUCUUAAAAUUAAUCUCUGCCACGCACCUAAAAGCAAAAUUUCCCAAAAACCUGUAGUGAAGACUUCAGAAAUAAACAUCCUUUUCUUCACUUCAUACAUUUUCUUGAUGGCAUCUCUUUUUCCAGUGCCAUGUACUUUUUUGGCAGAGGGUACGUGACAAGAAUCAGUCAGGAAGAAAAGAAAAAUACAGAAUGUUUUACCUGAAACACUCUAGCAAGCAGUACUCCUCCUGCCUACUGGAGUAUGACUUACUUGUAAGUAAACUGGCACAUUGUAUGCUGUUGUCUUUACUAAAUCUUGUCUUGCUUGUCUGAGAAGAGGGAAGUCCUACUUUAUCUUGAACUACAAUGCUGCUGCUUCCUGAAAAAUGCAGUCUGAAGCAGUUUCAAAUAAUCGUCUAUUAACUGGACAUAACUUCCAUGGUCUUGGGGCUUGUUUUCAAUGGAAAACUUACUUUGGAAGCUUUUCACCAGCUCUGUGUCCUGCUGACUUCUACCACAUGGACAACUCAGCCUCCUGGGAAACAGCUGCUGAAAUAUCUCAAACUACCUUUCCCUGCAUUACAGAAGCUUGAAAUCAGCAUGCAUAUUUCUUGCCGAAACAGAAUAUAAAAUACAGUGGUUGAACAACUGCUCCAUAAGUACGGGCAUGUUUGUCCUACAAAGGGAGGCAGGGCGGACAGCUGGGGACAGGAACUACUACAGCCAUCCCCAAGCAAGCCGCCCCCAGUUGUGACUCAGAGGCCUCACAGCUUGCCACUGUCAUUUCCUGUGUUUCAGCCUGACCCAGAACAGAGAAGUCACCCUUAGGCUCCGAAGGGCCAGCAUAUGCCACUGCCUUAGGGUUUAUAUUAUCAUGAACAGAGUACCUACUGGUUUUAAUUUUUGAACUUAGAGGAUCAAGUCCUGUAGUCCCGACUGAGGCAAACACACAGAUGUUUCCAGGAGCUGUUGAUUUGAUAACUACAAGGCAGAAUUCAGUGUGGCAAGACUUGGUGGGUAUAACUCGUAUACACAAUUUAAAACUAUUUCUUUUUUUAAACCACACUGAUCCCAGACAAGGAUAAAGUGAGGUUUAGAUUAUAAGAAAGCAAAUAAAUCUACUCAAUUUUUCUUUGCCAUGUCACCACACUGCUGAAAAUUUUCUUGCAGCAGAAACUAUUUAGACAAAUUGGAUGUAUUUAAGUUUUUUAAAGGGUAUUUUCAAAUAAGAGAAUCUGUUUCAAAAAUACCUCACCAGGUUUUUUGAAUACAUUGUCCUGCACGGUUUGCAACGAAUCAGUACACCAAUAAUGGCUUUCGAGUGACUAGGGAUGGAUAACAAAUGGUAUUAAAAUACAUAUAGUCUAUUCUAAUAACCAAGAGACUGAAGUGUCUGUGUCUCUUACUGAAUGUAGUGAUCUCAGGAGCAGGAACUAUGUGUUCCCAUAUCCAUAAUACCUAGCACAAGAACAAAAGCAGAUUACCAAAAUGCACACACUACUCCUUGAAUGAAACUGACUAAAGGAAUUUCUAAUGUACUUCGUGAUGUGCAGUAAUUCCAAACAUUCUACAGAGGUUGUAAAGUCUCAUGGAGGAAAAUGGAUUUGGUUAUGGUAAAGAAAUAGUCAGUCUGACUUUGGCUCAUUUACCUGAGAUUUAUACUUCUGUAAGCGUAUGAGCAAGAUAAAUAGAGUAUUUAAAUAUAAUAUUCUUCCUAAUGUGACACACAUUGUGUAACGUACCCCUUUUUGUGAUAGCUGUGCCCCGAGCCAACAGGAUUUUUUGUCUGGGUUGUGAAAAAAGUUAUCUGGGGACUGGUAAUGUGGCAGGUUUUGCAGGAAUCUUUCUUUUUGCCUUCAUACUGCUUACACCAAUAAACACAUUUAUUUUGAACCAGAAAGAGUCUGUAUAAAAGUAGAUCUUCAGUUGCUUGCAACCAUUAUCAUCAACUCAUCUAUAGCAGGACUGUAAAACUAAAACACACUGGAACAAGCUGGAAGAAUCAUAAAAGCAGCAGAAGCCAGACAGAUUUUGUGCCAAUAAUUAGAGAUUGCUGUAAAUGUCAACUGAUGUUAAAUACUGUGGUUAGAUUUUAUGUUCCUCCCUUCAGUAGAAUCUUAUUAAAAAAAAAAAAAAGGAAAAAAAGCAAAACAAAACAAAACAAACUGCAGUACAAUUGAAGGAAGUAACUAAUAGUUACGUAAAGAUAGAAUUAAAUAACAAUACUAAAAGUUCAAUGUGGCCAUUUGCCAUAGUACUGUACGGAGGAGCAGCAAAUCAAGAAGUUUAUUUUCCUGUGCUGGUGUCAUGAAGCUCCUCAGUUGGAUGGCCUAAGUAAAGCUAGAGGAUGUUCCACAAACCUGCUGUCAGAAAAAAAAAGACAUGCAAUUAAUCUACAGAGAAUUUUCUGUAUUUUGUUUACAAAAGUAGAAGAAAAAUCUAACUGAAGCUUUUAAGUGAUGCAAAGGUUCUUGGCAAUGCUCCUCAUUAUUCUCAGUUAAUUAUUCUUGUCUCUUUAGACUGUGGAGUCUACUUACAGUACGCUGACACAAAUCAGCACUGAUACAGAAAAAAAUGGCCCUGCUUUCCUUUCCACUCCUGUCCACAUGGCCCAUUCUCUUGUGCCAGCACAGCUAUUUGUGUGGCCAGGAAAUAAACUGGAUUGAAAAGCAGAUCUGUGUUAAAAUUAAGCCCGAACUAAAAUAAGAUAAAGCAAAACAAUUGACCCCUUUCAACAUCAGUACUAGUUUGCACUGGCUAAAUGUGAUAAAGAAACCAUGAUGUAAAUCUUUGCCAAGCGUUCCUAGCAGUGGCGUAUCUGAGGCACUCCAUGGAUCACACAGCCACUUUCAGGGAAAAGUGCUGGAUCCUCUGCCUGGCAUUUGUGAGACCAAAUCUUCAGGACAAUCCAGUUUUGAGAUCGCUGGCAGAAGUAAGACGCUGACAUACUACAAAAACCCAGUGGGAGAUCAGCAAAGCAGGUGGGGACCAGAGCUUAGGACAUACAAGCAGCAGCUGGGAGAAGCAGCUCUGUUCAGCCUUAAAAACCUAAGGCUAGGGAGAGAUCUAAUUGCUGGCUACAACGAUUUAAUGUGUGGAUAAUAGACAAGAGAGAACCACUCUUCUUGGAGCUGCACAAGAAUAGGGCUAGACUCAACUGGCACAAGCUGGAACAUGGAAAAUUCCAGCAUUAGGAAAAACUUUUUCACUACCAGAGUGAUGCAGCACUAGAGCAGGUACCCGAAACAGGGCAUAGGCUCCCCAUCCUUGGAGAUUCAAAACUUGAAAGGGGAAACCCUGAGCAAUCCGACCGAAGCUAGCACUUCUUCACCAGGACUGAGAUCUCAAAAGAGGUCUGUUCCUACUCAACAAAUAGAAACUGAUGAGAUGACAAAAAUCGUUAACUCUUCAGCGAGCAGUCCAUCUUUUGCUUUAGCAUCCACACAGCACCUAGCACAGUGCAACUUUGCAAAUGUUGCCAGCUACUACUGGAACAGAAAUCGUAAAUAAUAAUAAGCAAACUGCUAGGCUUAAGGAUAACUUAUCUAAAACUACAUAUGACAAUUUAAAAUGUUCUGAAUGUUAAGUACUUAGAGUAAGCCAGUUGGCUACAAAGUUGGUUAUAUCUUUGAUUUCUAAGAUUUUUUUGAGAAUGACAGAACGAGAACUUGAUCCUGUUAAUUCUAACACAUGGUGAGUCCCAAAGAAGUAGUGAGAGACAGUUUUGGUGUAUAUGCAAUUGCAAGAUCAGGCCAUAAGCCAAGCUAAUUCCAGUUGUUUCAAAUUAUAAAAGUUUUACACACAUACAUGAAGAAAUACUUACGCUAGAAUAAUUAAAAACUGAUUGAAAUGAAUUGGCUGAAAGCUAUUCUCUCCUCUCCCAAAAGUAACAUCUUUCAUUUUAGACUAAAUAUGGGAAAUUUCAUAGUUUCCAGCAACAGAUAAAAUAGAGUUUAGAACAAAGUUGGAAUUUAAAUUAAAAUACACUGUGAAUUUCCAGCAACUUCAAUGUAAUGAAGAAAUAGUAGCGUUCCUUUACUUACAAAAGAAAAGGUAAAUUCCUGGGACUAUCUCUAUUAUUAACCAGUCUAUAUUAAUAAGCAGGAUCUCAGAUGUCCUACUCUAAGACUUCAGAUACAGUUGUAUAAGCUCGAUAUUCUCUUAAUCUUGUAGAAGCCAUUGCUGUUUAUUGAUUUUGGUCAUACUAACAAGAAUUUCCAUUAUUAAUAUUUCUUCCAGAAAUGUUUCAACCUCAACUAAUAGACAAUAACACAAAGGAAGCAAAAGGAUAGUAGCUAUUAUUUUGUAAUAUUUUUACACAUCUUGCAGCUUUCUUUAAGAAAAUUAGCAAUGAGUUUAUAUAUAGCUGUACUGUUUUCUACCAUCAAAACCCCUAAGUAUUCUGUCAGCAUUUAAUUAAACACUUGCUAGGCCCUUCUUACUUAGAUCAGGAGUCUGAUAUCCAUUUCCCACUAGGAAGAAAGCAGUUCCCAGAGUUACAUUGAAAAUAGCCUGACACGCUAAAUCAUUUGCUGCAACCAUUUAGGAGUUUUCCUUCUCCUGAAGGGCUCUUCAGUAUUCUUUGAACAGAGAAGCAGCUGUUCUUCAAAACGUUUAGGACCAAAUUCAAAUUGCUGACAUGCAAUAUAUUUUGGUUCCUAACCUGCAGGGCUCUGUAAUUGCACGCACAUACUAAAUAAGAAAAACAACACAUGAACUGUAUUGACAUUGUGGUUGUGCCUAGGGCCAUAGUACAGUAAGGAGAAAAAAAUGGAAAGAAAAAAAAAAAGUAAGUAUUCCAAAGAACUCUUCUUGUAUAGAGUUGUUUCUUUUUCAACAUUUAUAGAAGACUGAGAAGAACAACCAUUGGUUUUCACUUAGAUGACAUUGGAUACAUUUAUUUUUCAUUAGAAGAAUUAAGGAAAUGGAGAACUAGCACAUUCCUGCACAAACCUCAGGGAUUAGGCUGUGCUGCAUCUGGGAAUUAACAAACUAGUCUCAACAAGCUUGAUCUUUCUGGGAAAAGAUAAAACUGAACUACAGGCUAAGCAAAGAAAGAACUGAUAACCUUGCAAGAUUUGUUCUGAGUUUUUUUCUUCACGAACCACAUAAAAAGAAAGCAAUGUCAGACAUUAAAAAAAUAUUAUUGCAACAAGCAAGAGUGAAAAGAACAGCUUGUGAAGAGCCUUCGAGACAAACUAAUGGUAGAUAAUUCACUGAUAGCAUAAUUUUGUUUGCUUCUUUCUAGCACAUAAAUCCAUAAGAACAAGCUGUGUUGUUAUAUCAGAUACUGCAUGUGAUUUCAUUAAAUCCUAAAGCAGUUAGUGAAGAAUAGAGCACAAAGUGUGAUGCAUUUGAUACUUACACAUACAAAAUCUCAUCAUUGUAUAAAACUGUAGCUGACAUUUUAAAAUUUUUAUUCUGUGACAAAGGCAUCACAGAUCAAAGCUGCUGACCAGCGUGGAAGUAAACAACAGAGAUUUCUGACUCAGUAAUAAUUCAGCUAAUCACAAGGACUAUCCCCUUUUACUCAUCUCUAGCAAAACAAACGCUCCACACCAUCUGUGAAAUGUCUUAGGGCUCAAUGGCUAGCUCUCUGCUCCACAGCUAACACACAGUUCUGUUACAAACAUACUCACAUGAUAUCCACAAAGUAGAGGACUUAAUAACAUAAAGCUGUUUUUUUUUAUGAAGAAUAAAGAUAAAAAUAUUUACAUCAGAUUACAUGAUAAAUACCUGUAAAUUUGAAUUAAUAAGAAAGACAAAUCAAGUAACAAUUAAAAUCAGUGAAAAUGUAAUCUUGUCUUAGCAUAUACGUCCUGUUAUAAAGAAUGUUUUAGAAACAGCUGACCUGCAUAGCUCUAAAGAGUUCAUCUUUAAACCUGAGACAAUUUGUUGAGAGCUAUUAAAAGGCUUAUUAAUGAUAAAGCAGAAAUAAACUACUUGUUUUCAAGUAGUACUUAAAAAUGCUGAAUAGCAAAAGAUCCCCUAAAGAGGUAAGCUUGGAACAUAAAUGGGGUUUUGGUUAGAAGGGAAUUAUUUGAGGCUCAGAGAUACCAAAGAGGAGCAGCAAUGGAGCUGGAACCAAACAUCUCAGGAAAGCAGAUGUAGGCAGCAUAUUCAGUAAAUUUGGCCACAGGGGAUUAAUAACAAAACCACCACCUAAAUCCAUAAAAUAAGAACAGACAUAGUGGGUUAGAGCAAAGGUCCAUCUUAUUCAAUUCCUCUUUUCUGGCUAAUGAGGGCUACCUGAUACUGAGGGAAAGAAAAAAAGAAAGCAGUAAGACCUUUUCCCAGUCUGUAUUCUGGACCAUCAAAGUGGUAGGUAAUUCCUGAUUUAAGAAGUUGAAGCAAAUGCAGACGCAGUUGGAUGAAUGGACAAAUCCAUCAUUAUUUUUAAGAUUAGCAGAUUCAACUUAUUGUUUUUAAAUGGCAUGUAGAGAUGUGACUGGUAACCUCUGUUUGGAUAUGUAAACAUUUAUUUCUAUAUUAAACUUCUCAAGUGCAUACAUUACAGUGAUCUGAGAUCAAAGAAAGUAAUGAAAGAAAACAGAAAACAGAUGGCACAUGAAUAUAUAACAAUUACUAAAAGAAAAAAAGAAUUUUCAAUCUUGUGAUAUAAGAAAAACAAGUGCUUCAUUUUUCCUCUUUUCUCAGCAAAAAGAAAGGAAAAAUGGCAGUAGUUCAUCGCUGAACAUCAGUUCAACAACAAACCAAACACGGAGAGGAUGAAGUAAAAUAUAAUUGAUUAUUAAGAAAAUGGUAACGUAAUUCAUUUUGUUGCAAAAUAUGAAAAGGUCACUGUUAAAAGCAAGCACUUAUGUGCAGUUCUGUGUUCUCAGAAUACGCUGUAGGGGUCCCAUGGUCUGUGCUCAACUCAACUCAAUCUGUGCUCCCAUGAUACGGCUGGCAGGAACUUCCAUUGGUCUAUCAUACCCAUAAAUUCAGAAGAGAGCCUUCUGAACAGCACGGAAGAUAUUCAUUCACCUGACUGCAUGAAGUGAUCCCAGCCAUCUUCAAAUGAUGCAGCUUUCUUCCUGAAAGGCGAAAGAAGGCAAAGGGGAAUUGUUCUAAACCAUAUUUGAGGUCCGCUAUAAUUGGGGCAGAACAACAAAGCACAGAGCCUGCACAUCCUACAUUUACUAUACAUCCAAAACUUUGCUAGCUCAGAGAAGAAGACAAGGCUCUGAAAUCAAGCCCAGAUUUUUCACUAUUACAUAAAGCAAACAAUUCACAGAUGACACAUUCUCUCAUGCCUUGAUGCCUUUCUCUGGAUCCAAAAGAUUAAUUUCCUCAACUGGACUAAGCUUGUAUUCCUUCACAGUUGUGCUUUCCCAUGCUGCUGGCAACAGCAGAUUGACUAGAAUGAGGAGUGGCUGCUGCAGGGGAAGCAUUACAGAUAAAAACAAAAACACAAAUGGAAUGGAUUUGAAGGAUUCUAGAACACUUUUCUCUGCUGCUAGGAGAAGCUGAAGAGCAGAAAAAAAAUAUGAAAGAACAGAAACGCUGAAACUUGGUGACUGCAUGCAUGAGAAAUGGUGGAAAUGAGAACAUGUGAAAGACCUGGAAACAAAGCAAAGUUGUAUGGGAGACCUUCCCUGCAACCUCAAAAGAAACAUAAGAAAAUUCCUUUCCAUAUUCCUGCAAAAAAGAAAAAGGCUGAAAUUAGUGAUCCAGCCAUUGCACAGAAAGUACAUGCACUGCUUAAGAUUGUGGAUUUCCAAUGAGACAGUGAGUCGUUUAUUGCAGCGGUUCAGCACAGAAACCACCAGGAGAGGCUUAAGAGGAAGAAACAGAAUCUCACUCACUAACGGAGGUAACUUUGCCAUUCUGCAAAAACAGAGGUUGUGCUCUGUUAGCGAAGGUGAUUUGACACACCCAACAGGCUCCUCGGGGAUGUUAAUUCCAGACAUGCAUUUGUCACUGCUGUUCAGUCUGGCAACGUACUACUUUGUAGCUCAGUGCUUUCUCCGCCAAGUCUUCUUUCAGCGAAUGCCUUCAGUCGGUUUGCUUGUUGCAAUGACAGUGGUUACAAGAGGGGGCCUGAAGCCCUACCUUCCAGUUCUGUUCCCUACAGGAAAUAAGCAAUCUGAGAGAAGGAUUAAGGUCCACCAAAAAACCUAAGACUUCAAAUUCUGAACAUCCUAACAAACAUCAUUUUCCAGCACUUGGGCUGUGGUCUCAUUCUCUUGAAUUCAAGUGAAAAAACUGUUGCUGUUGUGACUAUCUAAAGACUUUUUCCAUCUUACAUUUUGUUCCUUGCUUUUGCUGUUUUCAAUUGCCAUGCCAAAGUUUCUCCUGUUUAUUCUAAUUGUUUUAGUGUGUCUGACUCUCAUUGGUUUAUAUGUUUAGUCUUGUCCUGAUUUAGUAUGAAUUAAAACACCACUGCCACGAUCAGUCUGCAAAUAUGAGUCAGAACAGAAACUAUUUAAAUAAUACUAUGGAUGGUACCCGUCUGGCUUGAUAUCUAGAUCAUAUAGAAUAAUGCUGUUUUUGUUUUCUGCUACUGUUGUCUGGAAUUGCCGAUGAAGUGUUGAUUGUGAUUGUGACCACAAAUAUGUUUUGUUCCUGGUCCUGUUAAGCCAGAAGAGUGUGGUUUACUGCAUGUAUGUACGUGAGGUUGUUUUGAUUAUACUGAAUUCACUUUAAAAAACCCACAUUUUGCCACUGCAGUGCUACAGGACAAUGAGAAAAGAAUUUCCAAUGAGAACAGUAUUUUAAAAGCAAACCACUGGGCUCCUUCCCUUUAAAAGAAUCUUAAGGGACGCUACUCUUUCUUCUGAAUUUAAUUAUUUCUCAAAAUUACAUGUGAAUGCUGUCUUCAACAGAAGGUCGCCUUUCCUUCCCUUCUCAUUCAUUAUGUAAGACCUAGCAAAUUUCAGAUUGCAUAUUUCACACAGAGGUUAUGCUUCUUUAAAUUGCUUGUUUACUGUGUUGAGUAAAACUAUUACACGGCAACUUCUUUCAUUUGGUGAAUCUGGUCACCAUAUGUUCAGUGGUAGCUUCAGGCUUAUCAUUUGGAUUUUCAGUACCUUGCCUCUGAAGACCUGGGAAUGCUUACCACUAAAUGUUUGCCACCCUCAGUUUCUAGUUUUCCAGAAAGAGAGUGAAGACUGUAUUCUGGUGGGCCAAUACUGCACCCCGUCAGUGCCUCCGGCAGAGCCUCAAUCAGUACGCCUAUGUUCUAGGAAAGACGGGUUUCAGUUCUAAGCAGUGAAUAAGACUAUCAAACACAAUGUGCCCAAAGACGUGUCUGACCUCAUAGUGCAUGACUCUCAUAGUUUAUUCAGUCUCUUCAAACGGGUGAUAGACAGGCAUGUAACACAUGAGCACUGCUCUCCAUGUCUUUUCCAAACUAAAACAGCAGCAUAAAUGACAGACAAACUCAAGAAAACCUGAAGUUCUUUUGUUCCUGCUGAAAUGAACCCUAGCCUUAAACCUACGCUCCCCCUACACUGCAGACAUAAAGACAGUCAAGAGAGACUCCUAGCAUGAAUUCCAACCCGGUAGUUUUUUAAUAAAGUUUGCUUAUCAUUCCCUUUUUCAUAGCUUUGCUCCUCACUUAGAGGCAUCCCAGACCACAGCCCAACGUUUUCAGGUAAUCUGACCAGGAUUUUUAAUGCUGGCUGCAUUCAGACUCUGUCUACGUGGGUACUAAAUGGAGAUUUCAGCCUGAUUAAACACUUGCCAGCUAAAUUUAAACCCAUUCUUUUUCCUGGUUUAUGAAGUGCCUGAAAUCCUAUGCUAAUAACAAAGCGUGAAGCUAUCCAUUCUUUUUCAGUUGAAUCAAAUCAGCUUAUCACUAAUAAAAAGCCCUUCACUGCUCCUUAAAGCAGAGGCUAAUAAUGGUGAGUCAGAUACAUUCUUGUGAUAGCAUUUGUUCAGUUAAGAAACCCUCUCAGCUGACUGAAAAGCGAAAUAGCUUUUUUACAACCACUUAAUCUCACUGUAACGGCAUCUAUGGCUGCAACCCACGGUUUAAUCUCUAGUUACAGUAUGCCCAGUUAAUAAGGUUUCAAACAAAUGACUGUAUUUCCAUCACACCAAACUUGAAGCCAAGAAGCAUAGGAGCUUUCUGAGUAGUUUUUUUUUUUUCCUUUGCUUUGUUUUUGUUUAACUGUCAAGAAAACACCCAAACCCAUGGCUGGCAGUAGUGCUUAAGCUGGCAAAGUUUUGAUGAUUUUUUUUUUUCCACAUUUUAGAGUGACAGGAAAAGAACUUCCUGAGAAUAAAGGGCCGUGUUUUGUGUUUCAGUAUAAUGUCACAAACUCAGACCCACAUAAUGUCAAGCUCAGUUCUACAAUAUCUUACUCUGACCUCCAAGAUAACUAUUCUUCUUUUACCAAGUGUAUUCUGCAAACCACAUAAAGCAUUAUUUUUUUCUGAUA